AGUGUGCGGUGGGCCUCUCUGUCUCCAGGCAGAACAGCAGGUCCUUGAGGUUGAUGCGUGUGAUGCGCUGCCGCGUUGGUCUGGACCCCGACGACCCCGCACCCAGCGAAGACCCCGAUCCAGAGCCCUGGAAACCAAUGACCAAUCACCCGAAGCAGUGUGUAGAGGAUAUCAAAUCGUCAACGGCUUCAGGUAGGUUUCACAAUUCACGGCAACAAUAACGUGCAUGAGCUUGAGUCACGGCAGGUCAAUCUAAUUACUUUACAUAGUGCGCUGUGCCAUGCCCAGCUCAGCUUGUCGUAGAGCCAUGCUGUACCAUGCACUUAACGCUGUCGGGAUUGUUACGCAUUGACAGUCAAGGCUCAUGAGCUACGUUUGGCUUCAGUUGUUCACCAUUACCUCGGCUGCCCCAGCGGAGGCCGACGCGUCCGCAGGCUUCCUGGGCUUCCUGGGGCCGAUGGCCGCCAGGGCGGUGAGGUUGGCCUCUUUCUGUCGCAUCAUGGCCAGCUCCUGCUGCUGCAUCUGGAGGACGACAUCCCGGCCAAGCAGAGGAAGAGCUUUAAAAACUUGUGGGAAACACAGAGAGCCGCGCGGAGCCGGAGCCGGGCUCGCUCUGGGCCUACCUCCUUGGCCUUCUGUUUGAGGCGCAGCUGCUCAGGGUCCUCCUGGCGGGCUCGAGACUGCAGGCCAGAGAACACAGUCACUGUAUGGUUCAGAGUUCACUGGAGGACAGAUUACAUCUUACAGGCCAUUUACACCCCAAUCAGGUGACUUCACAUUUGAAUCCUUUAUACUUGAAUAACGACAAGGUGUGAUUACUUUAAAACUACUUACUACUUUUCAGGUACGAUAAUAUGUGAUUAAUUCAUAUCACAGUCAAUGCAAUCUGUGCAUGCAACAUUCUUUUAAAUAAUUUUCCCGUCUGACGUUUGCACGUGUGUGUUGAGUUUCCCCAGAAAAAUAGACAAUUCUUUUAGAUAACUCCCCUGAUUUUAUAGAAAGUAUGCAUAGAUUCGUGGAAUUUGAAGGUGGAGGUGAGGUUACCUUAGCUGCCUUGAGAAGGAUCUGUCUCUCCUGCCCCUCCUUUCUCUGUUUCUCCAGCUGGUCAAGCUGCUCAAAGAAGCGUAACUGGGCACGCACGUCACUGCUACCCUCAUAGCUGCUCUCCUCCUGAACCACAGAGGACCAAUCACACGCCGAACGGGGGAGGUAGUAUAGUGAACCAUCAAGGGGAUGAAUGGAGAAAAAUCUGAUGUAUAUUUAUAACCACAUCUUAAAUCAAUCCAGCCAGCUGAGGUCCUUUUAUUGACUGGUCUUUUGACUUAAUUUUCCAUCGUUUUUUUAAAUUAGGAACCAACCUUGAAGCUGAAGUUCUUGUGUUGUGCCACCUGAGUCACCUUUUCCAGAAGGUUCUGGAGACUCUGCUGAGUGGCGUGAGAUACAAACGUCACCACGUCAACGCCCAGCUCGCUCACACCAAACUUCUUCCCUGAAACAAAGACAACAUGAGUCAAAAAUAGAGCAGUUGAAGCAUCCUCCUCUGCAGCACGGCUGUAGAGAGGAAGGCCUCGUCCUUACAGGAGUGUGUCACUGCCCCCACCAGCUCAGAGUUGGUUGCUAGGAUACGUGCACUCUCCUCCGUCAGGUUGACUCCUGCCAUGGAGGCCACGUCGUUGAUGUCAUCCUCGUCCCUGGACACAAACACAUGGUCCCUAGGUAUAGUAUUUACUACAACUACCUCCGGACACAAUUGCUUGAUCAUGGAUCUGUAAGCGCUUUACUAAUCCACACCGUGUAGACUGACCACUGUAUAAAUUAAAUCCUCUUCUGAAUGCUUGGUCUGCCAUUCAGUAUCUCUUGGGUAGAAUAUCUCCUUAAUGAACAGGAAACCAGGUGGAACUCCGCCCCUUCGGUUUUGGCUUUCCAGCCCAAUCUCUCUGAACUGUCUCCCCCAAGAAGUUCGUCUUUAACAUAGAAUGAUUGCUGGAUCCCCUUACCCUAUCUAGCCUUUAGUCCAGCUAGCCGAUCGCACUGCCAGCAAUGAUCACAACGAUGCUCACAGGAGGUUAAGACUUUAUAAACAGUUAUCGUCUUUGGAAGAGUGCUUACCAAAUGAUUAACAUUUACAUUUUUCAUUUUUUCUUCUGAUCAAACUUCAAAAAAGUAAGGACAAAGUACUUUUGUCCUUACUUGAAAGUCCCCCCAGCCUCUUUCAGAUGGUUCUUCUGUGCAAGAGAUGCAGCGGCAGGUGGAACAGAUUUAAACACAGGCAGGAGGCCUGUCCUUCCGGGAGGACCUACAGGGAAAACAGAGGUAUCUGCAUCACACCGACACACGGACCAGACACAUCUCUGGCAGAGGAGGCAGGUGGACCGACCUGAGGUCAGCUGCCUGAGCUGCUGGGGUCCCACGAGGAUCUUUCCAGGGCUCUGGGUCCUGGGCGUCACCAUAGGUGCUGUUGCCAUGUUAACCGGCGGUCGCAUCCCUACCGCCAGCGGCUGAGGUUGGAGAAGCUUUAACAGGUUGAAGAGUAAAUAUACGAUUAUAUGACAGCUUCUAUCAACCAACACACAGUGUUAAAGAACCAACGUUUAAAAUUUGGCUGUCGAUUCAGUUCAGUCCAAAACAAAAUAGGGGGUAGUGUAUUACCAGAAAGUUGUGGUGUCCAACGCAGGACAUGGCAUCAGGCUAACAGUUCACAGUGACAAGUAAAGCUACCUAUUUUUCUCAGAGUGAACCAUUAUGUUAGAGCCAAUCUUACAUUCCUCAGUGUACCUUUGACGUGAUUGACAACAGGUGAGAAUACGCCCUCCAGGCCGUGCUACUUCUUCAGAUUUGACCGAAUUCAGAAUACUAAUGAUGGAGUUUGGGUCGGGGCCCUCCAGAACUACAGAUACCGUUUGGUUUACGGGUCCGGGUCUGCUGAUGUCCGGCUGGACCUGGGGCCUGGUUAC